UAUCUCUGUAGAGUCUGCAUAUCAAUAAGCGGAGGAAAAGAAACUAACAAGGAUUCCCUUAGUAACGGCGAGUGAAGCGGGAAGAGCUCAAAUUUGAAAUCUUCAAGGUUCUACCUUGACGAAUUGUAGUUUAAAGAAGUGUUUUCUGUUAGAUAGUUAGGCUAAAAGUUCCUUGGAAUAGGACAUCAUAGAGGGUGAGAAUCCCGUAUUUGGUUAUUCAUUCUAGCUGUGUGAUACACUUUCAAAGAGUCGGAUUGUUUGGGAAUGCAGUCCAAAAUGGGUGGUAAAUUUCAUCUAAAGCUAAAUAUUGGCGAGAGACCGAUAGCGAACAAGUACCGUGAGGGAAAGAUGAAAAGAACUUUGAAAAGAGAGUUAAACAGUACGUGAAAUUGUCAAAAGGGAAGCGUUUGACACCAGUGUUGUUUUUCUCGAAAAUCAAUUACAAAUGGCUUGAUUUUGUGUUGUAUUGACCUUAAUCAGCUUUCUGCACUUUUUUCAUGUCUUUCUUAAUGCACUUUUCGUUAACAAGUCAACAUCAAGUUUCUUUUGUUGUAAAAGAGUCAUUCGGAAGGUGGCUUUCUUUUCGGAGAAAGUGUUUAUAGCCCUAUGACUUCCUAGCAAUCGGAGAGAUUGAGGUCUGCAGCGUAGAUCCUUCUGGAUUAGAUACAUUUGUGCUAAGUUGUAAGCGUUUCAUAGACAACUUGUUGACUAUAUUUAGUCCUGUCGGCUUACUCGCUUAUGCUAAUUUUACCUACGCUUAGGAUGUUGACUGAUAUGUAGUCGUA
rnacentral:rRNA from 1 species